AAUGAACGCUGGCGGCAGGCCUAACACAUGCAAGUCGAACGGAUCCUCCGGGAUUAGUGGCGGACGGGUGAGUAACGCGUGGGAACAUACCCUUUGGUACGGAAUAGCCUCGGGAAACUGGGAGUAAUACCGUAUGUGGUCGAGAGACGAAAGAUUUAUCGCCAAAGGGUUGGCCCGCGUUGGAUUAGGUAGUUGGUGGGGUAAUGGCCUACCAAGCCGACGAUCCAUAGCUGGUUUGAGAGGAUGAUCAGCCACACUGGGACUGAGACACGGCCCAGCCUCCUACGGGAGGCAGCAGUGGGGAAUCUUAGACAAUGGGGGAAACCCUGAUCUAGCCAUGCCGCGUGAUCGAUGAAGGCCUUAGGGUUGUAAAGAUCUUUCAGGUGGGAAGAUAAUGACUGUACCACCAGAAGAAGCCCCGGCUAACUCCGUGCCAGCCGCCGCAGUAA
rnacentral:rRNA from 1 species